UGUGGACUUGGAGCUGGAAAUUGUACAGUCAUUGCAGCAUGGCCAUGGGGGUUGGACUGAUGGCAUGUUUGAAUGCCUUGGAACAACUGGAACUGUUGUUGGGAUUGACGAAGACCAUGAUAUCGUUGUGGCUUAUCCAUCUGGUAACAGAUGGACUUUCAACCCAGCUGUUCUUACAAAGGUUGGCGGAGGUGUUGUGAUGAGCAAUGAAAGUAGUACCAGCCAACAAUUCAGUGUUGGUGACCUUGUGCAAAUUUGUGCAGACUUAGAACGUAUUAAAAUUCUUCAGAGAGGACAUGGCGAAUGGGCAGAGGCUAUGGUCCCGACCUUAGGUAAAAUUGGACGUGUGCAGCAAAUAUAUCAUGACAACGACCUUAAAGUGGAAGUUUGUGGCACUUCUUGGACUUACAAUCCAGCAGCAGUUACCAAAGUUGCCUCAGAUGGAGCUGUGCCUGGGGCUGCUA